AACGCGAAGAACCUUACCUGGGCUUGAACCGCACAGGACCAUCUUUGGAAACAGAGACUUCCCGCAAGGGACCUGUGUAGAGGUGCUGCAUGGCUGUCGUCAGCUCGUGCCGUGAGGUGUUGGGUUAAGUCCCGCAACGAGCGCAACCCUUAUCAUUAGUUGCCAACACGUAAGGUGGGGACUCUAAUGAGACUGCCUAGGUUAACUAGGAGGAAGGCGAGGAUGACGUCAAGUCCGCAUGGCCUUUAUGUCCAGGGCUACACACGUGCUACAAUGGUCGGUACAGAGGGCUGCAAGACCGUAAGGUGGAGCAAAUCCCAGAAAGCCGAUCUCAGUUCAGAUUGUGGACUGCAACUCGUCCACAUGAAGUCGGAAUUGCUAGUAAUGGCGUGUCAGCAAUAACGCCGUGAAUACGUUCCCGGGCCUUGUACACACCGAGUAUA
rnacentral:rRNA from 1 species